AGACAACUGAAUAUAAAGUGAAUUCACUUAGCAUAUCAAAUUCCACUGACAAAGACACAUAUGGGAGCCGCUAUCUAUAUCUCUCGCCUGUGUUGGACUAAAUGUGCACCUUGGGACAGGGAAAAGGCUGUAACGUAAGCUUGUUUCUCUUUAAUAUCCUUGCCAAUUUAUUCUUCUUGUCUGUCAGUGGUGCCAUCCAUCUGUAACAUGAAGACAAUGAUGAAGCCAUCUCCGACUUGGCAGCUGUGUCGUCUUGUCAGAAGGAAAUAAGUCCUUUGCAUGCGAUAGGGACGUACCUCGGCGGAAAAGCGGGGCAUAUUUUCAUAUUCAACAGGUUAGCCAGAGCAAUCGGCGACCCGCAAGGCAUGAAUUAUUCCACUGAACAAUGCUGACAUCUGCAUACGACAAUGCAAUCAGACGAGACUACCGCUGGCCGCCAGCAGCUGCCGAAAAGCCCUGAACCAGUAAAUCAACACCCACAUCUAAACAAUGCCCUGAAACCAUGUGGCCUGCCAAGACCAAUAACCUGGUCAGAACGGUAUGACAUACCCUCUGUUGUUUUAAUCACCUCUGCUGACAAAGUUGACAAACAUUAUGACCUUUGAUGAAUUAGAACAGGACAAAAGGAGAGCACACCUACAAGCAAAAACUAUUAUCUAACCCCCUAUAGGUCCGACUCACCAACUAAAACUAUUAUCUAACCCCUAUAGGUCCGACUCACCAACUAAAACUAUUAUCUAACCCCCUAUAGGUCCGACUCACCAACUAAAACUAUUAUCUAACCCCCUAUAGAUCUGACUCACCAACUAAAACUAUUAUCUAACCCCCUAUAGGUCCGACUCACCAACUAAAACUAUUAUCUAACCCCCUAUAGGUCCGACUCACCAACUAAAACUAUUAUCUAACCCCCUAUAGAUCCGACUCACCAACUAAAACUAUUAUCUAACCCCCUAUAGGUCCGACUCACCAACUAAAACUAUUAUCUAACCCCCUAUAGGUCCGACUCACCAACUAAAACUAUUAUCUAACCCCUAUAGGUCCGACUCACCAACUAAAACUAUUAUCUAACCCCUAUAGGUCCGACUCACCAACUAAAACUAUUAUCUAACCCCCUAUAGGUCCGACUCACCAACUAAAACUAUUAUCUAACCCCCUAUAGGUCCGACUCACCAACUAAAACUAUUAUCUAACCCCCUAUAGGUCCGACUCACCAACUAAACAAAAUACGGGGGGGGGUUUUCUUCAAAACAUCACAUAACGUCUUCCAGAUAUCUGAGGACACCCUUCCCUCUGAAGGUCGGACCAGUCUGUCACAAGGGUGGAAAAGAUGACGGAUUACCCACACUGAUUGACAAAGUCUAAAACUUCAAGGGUGACCUCCUCCUCCUCCUCUUUAUAUUAUUGAUAUGGGGCCGCUGUAAUAGUCCAGAAAAGGCUACAUAUACCAAGGGGAUAACUGGACUCUCAUCCAUAAAGCCACGGAGCCAGUCACACUCGCAGAGGACACGAUUUGGAUAACUCCCCCCCCCCAGUGAAUUGAUGUCAUGAUCCUGGUGCAGAA
rnacentral:lncRNA from 1 species